GCGCAAUGGGCGAAAGCCUGACGCAGCGACGCCGCGUGGGGGAUGACGGCCUUCGGGUUGUAAACCUCUUUCAGCAGGGACGAAGUUGACGUGUACCUGUAGAAGAAGCGCCGGCUAACUACGUGCCAGCAGCCGCGGUAAUACGUAGGGCGCGAGCGUUGUCCGGAAUUAUUGGGCGUAAAGAGCUCGUAG
rnacentral:rRNA from 1 species